rnacentral:hammerhead_ribozyme from 1 species
ACCCAGCUGGCGAGUCCCAAAUAGGACUGAACGCGCGUCCUUGAU